AUAUAUAUACAGAUAUUGGAUAUCUCCUACUCCCCCUACUUUUCUUCUGAUUGAUUUCGUUCCGGGUCCCAAGACAGAUUUAGCUUGUGGC